ensembl:misc_RNA Metazoa_SRP Metazoan signal recognition particle RNA
GGCAUGGUGGCAUGCACCAUGUAGUCCCAGCUAUUCAGGAGGCUGAGGAGGAGGAUCACCUGAGUCCAGGAGUUCUGGGCUGUAGUGUGCUAUACCAUCAGGUGUCCUCACUAAAUUUAGCAUCAAUAAGGUAUCCCCCCAGGGAGCUGGGGACCACCAGGUUACCUAAGAAUGGGUGAACCACCCAGGUCAGAAAUGCAGCAGGUCAAAAUUCCCAUGCUGAUGGGUAGUGGAAUCAUGCCUGUGAAUAGCCACUGCCCUCCAGCCUGGGCAACAUAGUGAGACCCUGUCUCAA